rnacentral:rRNA from 1 species
ACGAACGCUGGCGGCGCGCCUAACACAUGCAAGUCGAACGAGAGAUGAGGAGCUUGCUCUUCAAAUCGAGCGGCGGAUGGGUGAGUAACACGUGGGGAACCUGCCCCUAAGUCUGGGAUACCAUUUGGAAACAGGUGCUAAUACCGGAUAAUAAAGCAGAUCGCAUGAUCAGCUUUUGAAAGGCGGCGUAAGCUGCCGCUAAGGGAUGGCCCCGCGGUGCAUUAGCUAGUUGGUAAGGUAACGGCUUACCAAGGCGACGAUGCAUAGCCGAGUUGAGAGACUGAUCGGCCACAUUGGGACUGAGACACGGCCCAAACUCCUACGGGAGGCAGCAGUAGGGAAUCUUCCACAAUGGACGCAAGUCUGAUGGAGCAACGCCGCGUGAGUGAAGAAGGUUUUCGGAUCGUAAAGCUCUGUUGUUGGUGAAGAAGGAUAGAGGUAGUAACUGGCCUUUAUUUGACGGUAAUCAACCAGAAAGUCACGGCUAACUACGUG